rnacentral:rRNA from 1 species
GGAUUAGAAACCCGGGUAGUCCACGCCGUAAACGAUGAAUGCUAGGUGUUAGGGGUUUCGAUACCCUUGGUGCCGAAGUUAACACAUUAAGCAUUCCGCCUGGGGAGUACGGUCGCAAGACUGAAACUCAAAGGAAUUGACGGGGACCCGCGCAAGCAGUGGAGUAUGUGGUUUAAUUCGAAGCAACGCGAAGAACCUUACCAGGUCUUGACAUCCCUCUGACCGGUACAGAGGUGUACCUUUCCUUCGGGACAAAGGAGACAGGUGGUGCAUGGUUGUCGUCAGCUCGUGUCGUGAGAUGUUGGGCUAAGUCCCGCAACGAGCGCAACCCCUAUUUUUAGUUGCCAGCACUUCGGGUGGGCACUCUAAAGAGACUGCCGGUGACAAACCGGAG